AGAGUUUGAUUAUGGCUCAGGAUGAACGCUGGCGGCGUGCCUAACACAUGGCAAGUCGAACGAAGAGGCCCCUUCGGGGGUACUUCAGUGGCGGACGGGUGAGUAACACGUAGGUGACCUACCCCGAAGUGGGGAAUAACAGUCCGAAAGGAUUGCUAAUACCCCAUGUGAUCGAUGAGGUUAGAGUCUUGUCGAUUAAAGCAGUAAUGUGCUUCGGGAGGGGCCUGCGCCCCAUCAGGCUAGUUGGUAGGGUAAUGGCCUACCAAGGCUACAACGGGUAGGGGGCCUGAGAGGGUGACCCCCCACAUUGGCACUGACACACGGGCCAAACUCCUACGGGAGGCAGCAGUGAGGAAUAUUGCUCAAUGGGCGAAAGCCUGAAGCAGCCAACGCCGCGUGCGCGAUGAAGGCCUUCGGGUCGUAAAGCGCUUUUGAGAGGGACGAGAUAGGACGGUACCUCUGGAAUAGGUCACGGCUAACUACGUGCCAGCAGCUGC
rnacentral:rRNA from 1 species